rnacentral:rRNA from 1 species
ACUCAAAUGAAUUGACGGGGGCCCGCACAAGCGGCGGAGCGUGCGGUUUAAUUCGACGCAACGCGAAGAACCUUACCAGGGCUUGACAUGCGCCUGCAGGGCCGGGAAACCGGUCGGCUUUCGAAGGUGGCGCACAGGUGCUGCAUGGCUGUCGUCAGCUCGUGUCGUGAGAUGUUGGGUUAAGUCCCGCAACGAGCGCAACCCCCGUGGUCAGUUGCCGAUGUUUCUGGCCAGACUGCCGGCACAAAACCGGAGGAAGGUGGGGAUGAUGUCAAGUCAGCAUGGCCCUUACGUCCUGGGCGACACGCACGCUACAAUGGCCGGGACAGCGGGUAGCCAAGCCGCAAGGCGGAGCGAAUCCCUGAAACCCGGUCUCAGUUGGAAUUGCGGGCUGCAACUCGCCCGCAUGAACGUGGAGUCGCUAGUAACCGCGGGUCAGCAGUACCGCGGUGAAUACGUUCCCGGGCCUUGCACACACCGCCCGU